rnacentral:rRNA from 1 species
UGGGGAAUAUUGCACAAUGGGCGCAAGCCUGAUGCAGCCAUGCCGCGUGUAUGAAGAAGGCCUUCGGGUUGUAAAGUACUUUCAGCGGGGAGGAAGGUGUUGUGGUUAAUAACCACAGCAAUUGACGUUACCCGCAGAAGAAGCACCGGCUAACUCCGUGCCAGCAGCCGCGGUAAUACGGAGGGUGCAAGCGUUAAUAGGAAUUACUGGGCGUAAAGCGCACGCAGGCGGUCUGUCAAGUCGGAUGUGAAAUCCCCGGGCUCAACCUGGGAACUGCAUCCGAAACUGGCAGGCUUGAGUCUUGUAGAGGGGGGUAGAAUUCCAGGUGUAGCGGUGAAAUGCGUAGAGAUCUGGAGGAAUACCGGUGGCGAAGGCGGCCCCCUGGACAAAGACUGACGCUCAGGUGCGAAAGCGUGGGGAGCAAACA